CCUACGGGCGGCAGCAGUGAGGAAUAUUGGUCAAUGGACGAGAGUCUGAACCAGCCAAGUAGCGUGAAGGAUGACUGCCCUAUGGGUUGUAAACUUUUUUUAUAAAGGAAUAAAACGAGGCACGUGUGCCUUUUUGCAUGUACUUUAUGAAUAAGGAUCGGCUAACUCCGUGCCAGCAGCCGCGGUAAUACGGAGGAUCCGAGCGUUAUCCGGAUUUAUUGGGUUUAAAGGGAGCGUAGAUGGGUUGUUAAGUCAGUUGUGAAAGUUUGCGGCUCAACCGUAAAAUCGCAAUUGAUACUGGCAGUCGUGAGUACAGUUGAGGUAGGCGGAAUUCGUGGUGUAGCGGUGAAAUGCUUAGAUAUCACGAAGAACCCCGAUUGCGAAGGCAGCUUACUAAACUGUGACUGACAUUGAUGCUCGAAAGUGUGGGUAUCAAACAGGAUUAGAUACCCCAGUAGUC
rnacentral:rRNA from 1 species